CCCUUAGAUGUUCUGGGCCGCACGCGCGCUACACUGAUGCAUUCAGCAAGCCUAGCCUUGACCGAGAGGUCCGGGUAAUCUUUGAAACUGCAUCGUGAUGGGGCUAGAUUAUUGCAAUUAUUAAUCUUCAACGAGGAAUGCCUAGUAAGCGUGAUUCAUCAAAUCGCGUUGAUUACGUCCCUGCCCUUUGUACACACCGCCCGUCGCUCCUACCGAUUGAAUGUGUUGGUGAGGAGCUCGGAUUGGCAGCAGUUGGUGGUUCGCCACCGGCUAUUGCUGAGAAGUCCUCCAAACCGCCCCAUUUAGAGGAAGGAGAAGUCGUAACA
rnacentral:rRNA from 1 species